rnacentral:tRNA from 1 species
GGAGUCAUGUCCGAGUGGUUAAGGAGAUUGACUCGAAAUCAAUUGGGCUCUGCCCGCGUAGGUUCGAAUCCUGCUGACUGCG